CCUACGGGGCGCAGCAGUGGGGAAUAUUGGACAAUGGGCGAAAGCCUGAUCCAGCAAUGCCGCGUGUGUGAAGAAGGUCUUCGGAUUGUAAAGCACUUUCGACGGGGACGAUGAUGACGGUACCCGUAGAAGAAGCCCCGGCUAACUUCGUGCCAGCAGCCGCGGUAAUACGAAGGGGGCUAGCGUUGCUCGGAAUGACUGGCGUAAAGGGCGCGUAGGCGGUUUAUGCAGUCAGAUGUGAAAUCCCCGGGCUUAACCUGGGAACUGCAUUUGAGACGCAUAGACUAGAGGUCGAGAGAGGGUUGUGGAAUUCCCAGUGUAGAGGUGAAAUUCGUAGAUAUUGGGAAGAACACCAGUGGCGAAGGCGGCUUACUGAUCUGCAACUGACGCUGAGGCGCGAAAGCGUGGGGAGCAAACAGGAUUAGAUACCCGGGUAGUC
rnacentral:rRNA from 1 species